GUGGUUUCUUUGCCAGCACAUAUACUAACAUUGGAGCAAUACAGAGGAGACUAGCAUGGCCACUGUGCAAGAAUGGCUCAAUACAUGCAUGAAAUCUGUUGAUUGAAU